AGACUAUGAUAUGAACAUUGGAUCAUCAUCUUAAAAAAUUCCCAAGCUUCAUGAAAGCUUUUUCCUUCUAGUUGCUAAAAUGUAGCAAUCUCCCACCUUAGUUG
rfam:Gossypium hirsutum cultivar TM-1 chromosome 15, whole genome shotgun sequence